rnacentral:rRNA from 1 species
CGAGCACGCGCGUGUGGCAUAUCAAUAAGCGGAGGAAAAGAAACUAACAAGGAUUCCCUUAGUAACGGUGAGUGAAGCGAGAAGAGCUCAAAUUUGAAAUCUUCAAGGUUCUACCUUGACGAAUUGUAGUUUAUAGAAGUGUUUUCUGUUAGUGGAAGUGGCAAAAGUUCUUUGGAAUAGGACAUCAUAGAGGGUGAGAAUCCCGUAUUUGGUCAUUCCUCCUAGCGUUGUGAUACACUUUCAACGAGUCGGAUUGUUUGGGAAUGCAGUCCAAAAUGGGUGGUAAAUUUCAUCUAAAGCUAAAUAUUGGCGAGAGACCGAUAGCGAACAAGUACCGUGAGGGAAAGAUGAAAAGAACUUUGAAAAGAGAGUUAAACAGUACGUGAAAUUGUCAAAAGGGAAGCGUUUGACACCAGUGUUGUUUUUCCGAAAAUCAAUUACGAAUGUUUUAUUUUUGAGGAGUUAUGACUUCAUCGGCUUGCUCCUUUCUUUAUGAAACUUUCUUAAUGCACUUUUCGGUUAACAAGUCAACAUCAAUUUCUUUUGUUGUAAAAGGGUAAUGAGGAAGGUGGCUUCAGCUUUCGGUAGAAGUGUUUAUAGCCUUGUGCCUCUGCAAUCGGAGAGAUUGAGGUCUGCAGCGUAGAUCCUUCGGGGUUAGAUACGUUUGUGCUAAGUUAUAGCUUUUCAUAGACAACUUGUUGACUAUGUUUAGUCUUGUAGCUUACUCGCUUACGCUAUUUUACCUACGCUUAGGAUGUUGAACUCUAUCACACACAG